rnacentral:lncRNA from 1 species
CUCCGCCUCAGGGUCUGAGGCUGCGAAAGGGGCGUAACGAUGAGUGGUUCCUGCCAGAGGUCUGGGGAGGAUAAAAAGCAGGAGGAAGAGGCGACGGCGGCCUGUGGACGUCUUGCAGGGGUCCCCGAGGCCAAGCAGGGUCCCAAGGCCGAUUCAGACUCCGACCUAGAGACGGAAGGCACCCAUGGACUUGGAGAACUGGUCGGGGACACCCUGUACCUGAGGUCUUGCUGGAUCCAUAGCAUUGUGCCCAUCUUCUGCUUUCUGUGCCAAGGGAGUGCCCCAGAGCUGAACCUGCUGCACGGGGGCCUGAGGCCCCAGAUGUGGACCUGUCGGAGAAGCAGCUGGGAGUGGCAGGAGCCCAGGCCCUCUGUGCCGCCCUCACAGUGAACCAGGCCAUGCGGAAGAUGCAGCUGUCAGGGAAUGGCCUGGAGGAGCAGGCGGCCCAGCACCUUGAUGAACUCCUGCUGGCCCACACAGACCUGAAGUCCCUGGACCUGAGCUACAACCAGCUGAAUGACCAAGCAGGUAACGCCUGCGCAGGGCACCAUGG